UGAGCAUAGUUUAACCAAAACACUAAAUUGUGGAUUUAAUAAUAGAGACCUAUAACCUCUUGCUUACC
rnacentral:tRNA from 1 species